AGCGAAGCCGCGUGAGUGAAGAAGUAUUUCGGUAUGUAAAGCUCUAUCAGCAGGGAAGAAAAUGACGGUACCUGACUAAGAAGCCCCGGCUAACUACGUGCCAGCAGCCGCGGUAAUACGUAGGGGGCAAGCGUUAUCCGGAUUUACUGGGUGUAAAGGGAGCGUAGACGGCAUGGCAAGCCAGAUGUGAAAACCCAGGGCUCAACCUUGGGAUUGCAUUUGGAACUGCCAGGCUGGAGUGCAGGAGAGGUAAGCGGAAUUCCUAGUGUAGCGGUGAAAUGCGUAGAUAUUAGGAGGAACACCAGUGGCGAAGGCGGCUUACUGGACUGUAACUGACGUUGAGGCUCGAAAGCGUGGGGAGCAAACAGGAUUAGAUACCCUGGUAGUCCACGCGGUAAACGAUGAUUGCUAGGUGUAGGUGGGUAUGGACCCAUCGGUGC
rnacentral:rRNA from 1 species